UACAGAGGGUGCGAGCGUUAAUCGGAUUUACUGGGCGUAAAGGGCGCGUAGGUGGUAAAGCAAGUAAGAUGUGAAAGCCCUGGGCUUAACCUAGGAAGUGCAUCUUAAACUGCUUAACUAGAGUAUGGUAGAGGGUAGUGGAAUUUCCGGUGUAGCGGUGAAAUGCGUAGAGAUCGGAAGGAACGCCAGUGGUGAAGACGACUACCUGGACCAAUACUGACACUGAGGCGCGAAAGCGUGGGUAGCAAACAGG
rnacentral:rRNA from 1 species